CCUACGGGCGGCUGCAGUGGGGAAUAUUGGACAAUGGGGGCAACCCUGAUCCAGCCAUGCCGCGUGUGUGAAGAAGGCCCUCGGGUUGUAAAGCACUUUCAGUGAGGAAGAACGCCUGGUGGUUAAUACCCAUCAGGAAAGACAUCACUCACAGAAGAAGCACCGGCUAACUCCGUGCCAGCAGCCGCGGUAAUACGGAGGGUGCGAGCGUUAAUCGGAAUUACUGGGCGUAAAGCGCGCGUAGGUGGCUUGAUAAGCCGGUUGUGAAAGCCCCGGGCUCAACCUGGGAACGGCAUCCGGAACUGUCAAGCUAGAGUGCAGGAGAGGAAGGUAGAAUUCCCAGUGUAGCGGUGAAAUGCGUAGAGAUCGGGAGGAAUACCAGUGGCGAAGGCGGCCUUCUGGACUGACACUGACACUGAGGUGCGAAAGCGUGGGUAGCAAACAGGAUUAGAUACCCCUGUAGUC
rnacentral:rRNA from 1 species